AGUCAUAUGCUUGUCUCAAAGAUUAAGCCAUGCAUGUCUAAGUACGAGCCUCUGUACAAAGUGAAACUGCGAAUGGCUCAUUAAAUCAGUUAUGGUUCCUUUGAUCGUUACCCCUUACUUGGAUAACUGUGGUAAUUCUAGAGCUAAUACAUGCGAAACAGCGCUGACCUCACGGGAUGCGUGCUUUUAUUAGGACCAAGACCAAUCCGGGUCUUCUGGCCCGGUCCCCCUGGCGAACUCUGGAUAACUUAGCGGAUCGCACGGCCUCGGCGCCGGCGACGACUCUUUCAAGUGUCUGCCCUAUCAACUUUCGAUGGUACGUUAUGCGCCUACCAUGGUUGUAACGGGUAACGGGGAAUCAGGGUUCGAUUCCGGAGAGGGAGCCUGAGAAACGGCUACCACUUCCAAGGAAGGCAGCAGGCGCGCAAAUUACCCAUUCCCGACACGGGGAGGUAGUGACGAAAAAUAACAAUACAGGACUCUCUCGAGGCCCUGUAAUUGGAAUGAGUACACUUUAAAACCUUUAGCGAGGAUCUAUUGGAGGGCAAGUCUGGUGCCAGCAGCCGCGGUAAUUCCAGCUCCAAUAGCGUAUAUUAAAGCUGUUGCAG
rnacentral:rRNA from 2 species